CACGUAGGGUGCGAGCGUUGUCCGGAAUUAUUGGGCGUAAAGAGCUCGUAGGCGGUGUGUCGCGUCGGCCGUGAAAACCUGCAGCUUAACUGUGGGCUUGCGGUCGAUACGGGCAUCACUGGAGUUCGGCAGGGGAGACUGGAAUUCCUGGUGUAGCGGUGAAAUGCGCAGAUAUCAGGAGGAACACCGGUGGCGAAGGCGGGUCUCUGGGCCGAUACUGACGCUGAGGAACGAAAGCGUGGGGAGCGAACAGG
rnacentral:rRNA from 1 species